CCGAAAGGCUGACGCAGCGACGCCGCGUGUGGGAUGACGGCCUUCGGGUUGUAAACCACUGUCGGGAGGGACGAAUGACGGACGGCGAAUAGCCGAUCCGGCGCGACGGUACCUCCAAAGGAAGCACCGGCUAACUCCGUGCCAGCAGCCGCGGUAAUACGGAGGGUGCGAGCGUUGUCCGGAAUCACUGGGCGUAAAGGGCGCGUAGGCGGUUCGUUAAGUCGUUGGUGAAAUCCCGGGGGCUCAACUCCGGGGGCGGCCGGCGAGACUGGCGGGCUCGAGCACGGUAGAGGCAGAUGGAAUUCCCGGUGUAGCGGUGGAAUGCGUAGAUAUCGGGAAGAACACCAGUGGCGAAGGCGUUCUGCUGGGCCGUUGCUGACGCUGAGGCGCGACAGCGUGGGGAGCAAACAGGAUUAGAUACCCUGGUAGUCCACGCCGUAAACGAUGGACACUAGGCGUCGGGGGGAGCGACCCUCCCGGUGCCGUCGCUAACGCAGUAAGUGUCCCGCCUGGGGAGUACGGCCGCAAGGCUG
rnacentral:rRNA from 1 species